ensembl:lncRNA
AGCUGACCCAACCCCUUUCUUCAAAGUUUGGUUGCUUGUCGCUGAGGAAGACUGUGCAUCCCCAAGAAGACAAAAAUCCAGAAUUAUCUCACAUAAUGUUUAGGUGAGAAGAAAACAAGGCUUUCAUGUUUAAGGCCAGAAGUGAGAUCAUAGACAGCCUAUCUAUCUGUUUCGCCUGGAGAUAUCGUGGGGGAAAACCCACUUUUCUGAAUGAGGAGGGAGACGAACAAGGAAGCAUCUCAUCCUGGUCCUUAGUGCAUUGAGGAUUUUAUUUUGUUCCUAUUACCCUUGCUUCACACAGCUCUCUCCAGAUGUCCAGAUAGUAGGGCUUGUUUUCCUGGGAAACUGCUCUUCCAGAACAUAAUGUAUAACUGGAGACGGGACAUUAGCCAGAGGGCUGAAGACCCCUGUCCUCCAUUCCUGGCUUGGAGGAAUAAAGGGAACUAAACGGUGGUCCCUUCAGGACAAACUGGGGUCAACAGGGCACAGAGAGUUGGAUAACACCAGAUUGGUCCCAGAUAAUUAGUAGUUGUGUGCACAGUUUCUGUGCAAAGGUUAAGUCCAGCAUAUCCAUGGAUUUGUUUUCCCCUUGGGGUGAGCAGUCUGAAGGACCAGUCAGUAAUUCAUGGUUAGCACUGAAGUUUUCAAACUGUAGCAGAUAUUGGUGCCUGAACUUAAAGUUUUGAAAAAUACAAGACUAUUAAAGGAACCAGAUGCCAUAAAAAAGAAAUCUGCUCAUUCUACUUUCCAUUAUGUAAACAGGGCAUCCCUCUUCCCUUUCUUUGGUUACCCUAGUAAAGGAGAGGGCUCACAAAGAUUCAGAGAACAAGUAAUUUUUCACUGGCUGAGACCUGAGGAAGCUCCUGGCCCCCAGAAUGGUUCCUUUCACAGCUCCCAAAUUUGCACUUGGAGACAGAUACUGGAAAAAAAUGUUCUAUAAAAAUCUGACAGCUGAACUAAGUUGCUCCUUUUUGGCAGGAGAUGGGGAGUGAACUUGACAUUGGGGUAGGCAAAAUUAGAUAACCUUUUCAUGAAUACAAAUGAUUUUGAUUUAGAGACCUUAUUUGGGAAAGCAGUGUUCAGUUCAACUUAUUUACAAACCAGCUAUACACACCAGAUCCCUUUUCCUUAUUAAUCUCUCCAUGAGGCUUGGAUGCCAUGAGGUGGCUGUGAAUCUUACAUACCUGUAGAAUAGGAGUCUUGAACUGAUUCUUCUUUAUUCUGAUACUGAGACGGUGCCCAGGAUUUUUGUCACAGGUUUGUAUUUAAAAUGCUUUCUCCUCGUUUCAUGGGCCCUCCCUCCUAUGUCCUCAGACCAGGCAGAAACAUAGGCAGAAUCAGAGGCCACCCUGGGCCAGUACCCCCUGAAAACAUGUGGCAUCUGAGGUGUGAAUGUGAAUGCGGUCCAGAAACAGACACAUCCCAUCGCACUGCCAGGGGAGAAGUACACUGUCCCUGCUGGCCACGUUGCCCUGAGGGCAUGGAGGUGGCAGGGAAAGCACUUAGCCACUGCCUUGUGUGCCACCGGUCACCUGUUUGUUUCUGUUGAGUCCAGUCUGGGAGGAACCUGGACUAGAGACUCAGACCUCUGCCUGCAGCCUGGCAGAACUGCAGAGCCCUUAGCAAGCAGUGCCCUGGUGAGGCCCACUGUAUUUGACCACUUUCUGCUGAGACAGUGGGCAGAUGUGAUAGGAUGAGUCCUCUCCAAAGGCAGGAGUGAGAGAGGGAAGGCAGUGAAGUGGGGCUGGAAGGAGCCUGAGGAAGAUGUCAGAUCAUUCAUUCGUUUAGUUACUCUGGUAUGUUUCAGAUUUACUAAGGAAGAGUGUUCCCCUUCCCCUAAGCCCUAGGAAUACUGAAGAAUCGAAGGGACCGAGAAUACUUCAUUUAAUCAAAAACAAUUCCAAAGAUCUAUGUGCUACUUCUGUGUCUCUUCCUCUGUUUCUCUGUCUCUCUGACACACAUAGGCAUUCCCUCUUAUCUUACAUACUUUGUGCCUCAAGUGUGCCUUAUAGAAGAAUCCAGGAUGACUGAGGAGCCUCUUGUCCCUGGGAGAUGUUCUGUAUAGCCUUAGAGUGUUAGUUGAAGUGAAUGUAGGGGAAAGAACUUUUUGGUUUCCUAAAAGUGAGCCACUAUGAGCUUUGCACAACAGGAGAAAAGAAAUUGCAUUAUAUCCAUUAGGAAAGUCCCAUUUUGUAGAGGUGCAAUCACAUAAACAUUGGACAGCCAGGAUUAAAGGUAUUGUAAAUCCCCACAGAAGAGUAUUUUCACAGUGCAAAGGAACCUGGCCUGGAAGAUUAGUGCUUCGGGCCUCUGGGGCCAAAGGGGGAGCGCUUACCGCAGGGGACAGAAACUUGGUGUCUUCUUAUUAUAGGCAACAUAAAAUUCUAGAGUGCUUUGUUUUGUCUUGGUGUCUAGAAGGAAGGGACUCAUUGUGCUCAAUGAGUUGGAAGUCAUUUAAUGGUAUAGACACAGAGAGCAAGCGUGGCCAGUUACCAUGAGGAGGAUGAAUUACUAAGUGACUCAAGAUUGCAAAAGUUUGUGACACGGACUGGGCAGACCCCUUUCUGAGGACAUCUGUUAACUUUCCCAGCUCUUUCAGCAGGAAGCACAGCUCCUACCCACUGUGCUGGCCCCGCUGUGAAGCCUCAGUUCCUGCCUCUGCCGGAGUGUUCCCCGUCUCCUAUCUUUUUCAUCCCGUCUUCUGUGAGCUUCAGCUCGCAGGCUUUCCCCUGGGAAAAGGGACCCCAGGGUUUUCAGCUCUAUUUCUCUGCCCUCAUCCUUUGCUCACCAACUGGGUGAAAACAUGAACUCUGUGCACCCAUGGCCUUCACUGCUUAGAAAAUCUCCCUCUCAGAUAAAAGCGCCAUGUGAGUCUAUGGAAAACACAAGCACUCUCUGACACACUGUGAGUGAUCCUUUAUACACGGUGUGAACAGACCCUGGACUGUAAUCAUCAAUGGGCUUUAAUGUUUGUACUUACAGCCUGGUUUUCCUCUCUUGUAACAGGUUAUAUGGAUCAGCAGUGCUUAAAUCUAAGUACAUUGUGAGUCUAUCAUCUGUUCUAUUGUGCUGUUUUUUUUAUGGCCUUUUGGUCUUUUAUCCUAGCUAGAUAAGUAACCCCCCCCCCCCAAAUGCUUUGUAGAACACUUGUACUUAGUUUGAAAACAAUAAAUCAAAAUUGUAAUGCAUUUGUAUUUCCAUUUCCUGCAAAUAAAUAUUUUUCUUAAAUAGUAAAA